GAGGCUCGAGGAGAGGGAAAUCGGGGGGACAGGGUUGGUUGCUAGCAAGGAAAAAUGAGAGGGGUGUAGGGGAAAACGAGGGCACGUAAUUAGAUAAAAAUCAUGGGAACUAAGGGGAGAAUUGGGAGAAAAAUUUAGGGUUAUUAGCGAUGGCAUUCUAAUAAGAUAACUUCACCGCUAAUAAUCUUAGAAUCAAAUUAAAAA
rnacentral:lncRNA from 1 species